CCCCUCAACUUCAUCAUUUUUUUGGAAGCAGAAAUACAGCGCCAUCAUCAGGCUUGCGAGAAAUGAUAGAAUUAAAAUAGUGGUACAAGUAUGCUUUGCUUUUGGUUGUUGUGGUUGUUAUUUACUUUCGUGUCACUUGGAAGGACCAGAGUCCUAGCAGGUUUUCUUGAUUACGUUGAGCCUAGAACGAAGGUCAAGGAGGAUCCAGCCGUGGUGAUCUUGGUGAUGACGCGCGAAUUGUUACGUUCGUCAAACCGCGGUUCGAUUACGUGUGACGAGGAAUAAGGCUCUGUGACGGAAUCUGUGUCUAUCAACCGUGCCAAAUAUGUCCGAGGGAUUUCGAAUUACGAUUUGCCGGGACAUUCCGGAGGGUUGCGUCUUUUGAGGACAAAACUAAGAUCCGAUAUUCUAAUUAGAUUUAUUUAAACACGAACAUUUAAAACAA